CGCCUGUGAAAGAUGAAGGGCAAGACUGCGGGAAACUUCCUGAGAUCUGCCAAGCCAGCCUGAGGGACAAGGAGCUCAAGACUGCCUGCAAGGAGGAGCAGCGGCCGAGGACCGCAAACAAGGUCCCUGGCAGCAAAAGUGUCAAGCAAAAGUCCCCGCCCGCUGCGGUGGCUGUGACCGCAGCUGCCCCGCCGCCCGCGGUGCCCAGCGCACCCACGGAGAGUGCACCCGCGCCUACCCGCAGGUCAGCAGGCAAGAAGCCCACCAGGCGCACCGAGAGGACCUCAGCCGGGGACAGUGCCAACUGCCACCGACCAGAGGAGCCAGUGGCCCCAGACGCGCUGGGGGCGAGCGUAGUGGGACCCCUAGAGCCCCCCAAAACCAGGCCC
rnacentral:lncRNA from 1 species